CUCAGGACUAUAAACUCUCCCAGAGCACUGGAGCAUGGUGCUGCUGAUGCAAAGUGGCUCUCUAUGGAAAUGCUCUGACUGACUCCAACAGGGACCUGGAUUACUCUGAUAAACUGAUUGAUCCAUUGAUAAUCAGCAUCAUCAGAGUAUUGUUUCAGGAUGUUUAAAUGCAGUUUUUAUUUGGUUUUACUACUUGAAAAACUUGGUAUCAAAAUGUUUCGAUUCAGGGUCCCAAGAGCCGACCCGAACCAUAAAAGUCUGUUAUUACCUGUUACAUAUAGGUGUUGAUCACAGGAUGACUGCAUCAGACACUUGAUAUGUUAUUUGCCUAAAUGUAUUAUUUGUAUAACUCAUUGGCUGCUACCUGUCCAUUAGUACAAUUGUAUUUAUAUGAUUCUGUGUAUUGUCUGUUUUUAAGAUGUGAUGAGUUAAAGGCAUUGUAUGUACCUGGAGAAGCCAAAGACACUUUUCCAAUGAAGUCAAUCUAAGCUAAUUUAAUGUCUGUAAAAUAAAACAAAUAUACUGUAUUGUAUAACAAUGUGCAUUAGGCAAUAUGUUGUUGUUAUCAGUUUUCAUGUUAUCUGUAAGAUCUUCUAACAGAGACCUAUCUUGGUGAGUUUGUUUGUGUCAAAGUCAGAGAGCCGUGUCUCUCUACAGUGAGAGGUUUUUGUACGGUGGCUCAAUGAGUUUGUAUCACUGUGGUACACGUUCGGUGGAGGAACCAGACUGGAUGUUGGAAGUAAGUGAAAUAUCUUACAUUUUUAAUAAUUCUAGCCAUCUGCCUUUCUGGUUUUUAUAUGUUACACAGUCCAGGAAAAAGAUAGCUGCUUUACCAUUUUUGUUGAUAAGUUUUUGACAAAGACUUUGCAGUCAGAGACAAAGUUAACUUCAGCAACAUAACUUCAAAAAUGAAAUUUAAUGAAAAAAAACAUUUAAAUCACAGGAUAAAUCAUAAUUUCCAUCUUCAGUGGUAAAGUUGCAUCUUUAGGCUUGUAGGUUUAGUUCAGUCAGACAAAGUCAGAGAGCCGUGUCUCUCUACAGUGAGGUUUUUGUACGGCGGCUCAAUGAGUUUGUAUCACUGUGGUGGACUUUUGGUGGAGGAACCAGACUGGAUGUUGGAAGUAAGUCAAAUGUUUAUUUUAAAAAAGUUUCUGCACAGAUUAUCAUUAUAACAUUGUAUAAUUAAUUUAUCUUGUGUUGUUUGAUGUUUAGUUUUCCACCACAAUGAUAACUGUUGUUAUGUUGAAUUAACUUCAUGAAGUAACAUUGAACAAAGUGGAGAUAAAGACUGGAGAUACAUUUUUUAUGUAAUCCUUAUAUUGUGUCAUGUGUUGUUGCAGUUUUUUAGUCUUUAAAUCGUUUGAACAGUUUACUAAAUAAUGACUGAAAUCCACAUGAAUAACAUUUAAUUAUCCGUCAGUUUAUUUUCUGUAUUUAUUUAUGUUAACUUUACGUACUUCUGAACUUCGUAUAUAUUGUGUAGUUCAGGUUUUGUAUGCUGCUGAUGAGAGUUUAAAAAUGUUGCCUGCUUCUUUUAUUUCCAGUGUAGUUUGAUAUAUUUCAGCUCAUUCUGUACGAUGAUUCUCUCUGUGCUGAUAUGCAUGAGAGGCUUCUUAAAGGGAAGUGAAACAAUGUGUGAGUGAGUGACUGGUGGAGCAGAAAAACCAUCUGACAGAAACUCCUUAAAGGAGAAGAUCAACUCUCACACAGGAAAGGUGUCCAAGUGUCUGCUGGUUGAUUGACAGCUGUGUGGUCCCGCUGUCCUCUAAUCUGAUUGGUGUCUCCUAGGUGAUGCCCGUCCCACCCUGACGGUGCUGCCCCCCUCCACUGAGCAGCUGCAGCAGGGGAAGGCCACGCUCAUGUGCCUGGCCAACAAGGGCUUCCCCUCAGACUGGAGUCUGGCCUGGAAGGUGGACGGCAGCAGCACCAGCAGCAGCAGCAGCAUCAGCUGGGAGCAGAGCAGCAGCCCCGGGGUGCUGGAGAAGGACGGCCACUACAGCUGGAGCAGCACCCUGAGGCUCUCUGCAGACCAGUGGAGGAAGGUGGGCUCUGUGACCUGUGAGGCCACCCAGGGCUCCCAGACUCCGCUCUCAGAGACUCUGAGGAGAGACCAGUGUCCCCAGUCCUGAUCUGACUCACUGGUUUUACUCUGCUACUGCUCUCAGUCUGCACUCUUUCUCUGUUUCUCUCAUGAUGUUUCAACAUUAACUUGUUCUUGCUUGUGUUUUUCGUUUUAAUAUUUUCAAACAAUAAAGAAUUCCAUCGUAGAUUAUAAGUGACGGGUCUCCUGAAUUCCUUUCUUUUACAUGUGUUAUAUAUUAGGAGCAUGAGUCAAGUUAAAGUGCCAAAGUGACAAUCGUAAGAAGUACAUUUUUUCCAGAUACAUUUUUAAUAGUUUUAAGACUGUAGACAUUGUGCAGCUAAUUCAAUUAAUAUAAAUCACAAAGAUAUCAAAUUUAACUCAUUUAUGCUCUUGAAGGUCCAUUUGUUAAGUUAAUAUGUCAUUACAUUUGCAUUUUUACCCAAAACUAAUUC